ACGUCAAAUCAUCAUGCCCCUUAUGUCUUGGGCUACACACGUGCUACAAUGGCGGACACAGCGUGAAGCGAGGCAGUGAUGCGGAGCGGAACACGAAAGGCCGUCCCAGUUCGGAUUGCAGGCUGCAACCCGCCUGCAUGAAGUUGGAAUCGCUAGUAAUCGCGGAUCAGCAUGCCGCGGUGAAUACGUUCCCGGGCCUU
rnacentral:rRNA from 1 species